CUCAAGAAGACAACUGGAAGAGAAAGGGCCGGGAAAUUUCCUGUUCGCUUCACUCCCUCACCCACACACCCACACACACCUCACACAUUCAUCCAUCAUGAAGUCCGGAUCGGUAUUGCUCCUCACAUUGGCAACUGCGUGCUUGGUCUUACUAUUACAGAGCAGGGGUACGCAUGCGCGAGCCUUCGAUAUGAACAUGCUUGAUGAGAGGGAAACGGCAGAAGGCGCAUUCCAAAAGAGAGACGCAGCACUCCGAAACACACUUAAAUCCUUAAUUAUGCGCAAAAACACAGAUGACAGGCUUUUUGAGCCAGCUGCAGUAGCACAGAAGCGAGGAGGAUCCAAGUCGAUUGAUUACGCCGAGGACAUGGUCAAGUUCGCCCUCUGGUGCCGGCAGAUGAAUAUAGAAUGCUAGUACAUCCACCUUGCUUUCUGUACAUCCCUUUAUUUUUACAUCGAUCUUCUAAUCGCUCACAGUAAGAAGAACCUGGCAUUCUUAAAUUCAACCAACACCAAUCAAGCCACGUCGGACAAAAGGAUCAUCUCCUAAAUACACAAAGAUUUUGUCUUCAAUCCUCUGCGUUUCUUUAAUACAAGAACGGCCCGGAAUUCCACCAUGAACAAUUUUUCAGAAAAUAACGGAACAGUGUCGUGGUGACUUCAUUUUGUGAUGACUACAUCUGUGUUACUCGAUUUUAAUUUUACAUUCAGUUUCACUCAGUUUUAUUUGUUACGUUAUAAGUUAUUUCGCUGUAAAAGACCCACGGUAAAAGAAAAAACGCGUUCUUCUCUUGUGAGUCCGAUGAUGGCGCUAUAUCAGUAAAAAGAAAAGCAGUUCAAAGCUUUCUGUAUCGGAACGAUCUCAAAUCAGAAAUCACGUUUCAAGUGGUUAGAAGGAGUUACCGCUCAUUCUUUUUAAUGACAGUGACAUCUGUUUGAACACGGUCUGUUUUUAGCUGCCUUGUACAUAUUUCAGAUAGAAGUCAAUUGUAACGGAGACCCCGUUUGUCCAUUAUUCUUGCCAAUGCAUUAAUUUAAAAUAAUACCAUUCCUUUUUAUCACUAGGAUACAUGUAAUAUCUACGCAGCCUUGCAGUGUUUUAUUAGAAUUACAAAAUUAAUAUCAACCUAUAUAUAUAGUUAUAUAUAGUUUGAUAUGGAUUAAUUACUCCUUGUUGCAUACCCCGUCGAGAUGUUUGUAUAUAUCAUUCGGUAUUUUUCCUCUUUUUAAGAAAUGCUUAUUUUGUAGAAUAAAAAUAAUGCAAUUAAAAUCAAUGGCGAAUAUAAGAUAAGCUUGCUGUUAAUAAAAAUGUUCUGCAUCGACCUUUCAAUCAGAUUGUUUAGAAGGUACAAUUCUAUAAUGUAAAAGAGCCUUUAAUCAUCAUCAUAACAAUACUGAUAAUAAUACUGUAAUCACUUCGGCCAGUCGUUACUAGCAAAGCGUUUUUUAAACAUGUUUAUUCAGUUGCUUUAAUUUCGUGUUUUUUCCCAAACUGCUAGGUAUUAUAAGAACGCAAAUAAACUCUUACACAGUGCCAUGUAUUAUAUUUUUUGCAAUCGUGCAAUCAGAUUUGUCUCUUAUUAUAAAACCUUGCCUAUAUAACCAGCACCUUAUUAACGAUUCUACUGUGAGUCGGUAUCAUGAUACCUAAUAAACAACAAAAAUUUGUUCAAAAAUUAAUAUGACCCAGGCCAACACAAUUUGCUUAGUACCUUGUAUCAAUUUACAGAAAAGUGGUUUGCAAAUAUGCUCUCUGCAUAGAAUUCACAUUACCUUAAGAGCUUUUCCAUGUAAUUUUAAAUUGCCAAACAUGGUGGGAAACAUUCAAAAUUACCAUGCCAUAGUUGCUGCAGAGGUUCUGUCUCAAUAUUCACCAUGAAAAGAUGGCAACGACUAAUCCUUGUCGUUUCAUUAUCUUAGAGGAAAUUAAGAGUCACAUUAGGCAAGUGUAUGAAAUUUAAUAUCAGUAAUACUUAAAGGUAUCACUUCCCUUCAUGUCUCCAUGGAAACAAUGUAAAUUAUAAUUUUCGUCACUUAUUUUAGAGUGUUUUUUCUUUAAAAGUAUCAUAAUGUGUCGUCUACGUAUAAAAGGUAACACAGUUUGCGGUGCAGUGGAAGAAAAUGGGACCAGUUUACACAGUUAAAAAGAUGAAAAUAUCGUGAAAAUAUAUUUUCCUCACUGAGCGCUUAUUUCAUUCUUAUGGAAACUCUUAACGAAUUUCCUUAACAUAUUAAAACAGUAUCUUUAGGUCUCUCUCCCUAUCCCUAGUGAGAGUACAAUUUUGUUUAAUAAUUUUGUUUAAUAACCGAUUGAUAGCAUGCUUAUUCAUUUACAUAAUUAAAACUGCUUGUGUUUUCUUUUUAAAUACUUAUUGCUAUAUUUCGAUGUUAUACCAAUGAUUACGGCAUAGUGAAGUGAAGAGAAGAGAGGAGCAUUUCAUGAAUCCUUAACAUAGUUGGGAUAAUUGGGGAAAUUUCAAUUGUCACCACAAUGGGGCAGCAACGUGGAAAUGCACAGUUGGCGUGUUAACGAAAGAGAUUUGUCUUUAUGUAAAGAUUGCCCGUUAUUGUACUGAUUUGUAUCCGACAAGUUGUUUUUCAAAAGAAAGAAAGACACACACUUUCAAUGGCGAUGUUAAAUCUCAUAUAUAAGUACGCAAGUGUUUCAUAAUUUGUAUGAACUUCUGUUAUCGUAGUGUUGUAAAGAUCAAGUGUUAAACGUUUCUUCUGUUUUUCAUGUCCAUUAGUAACAUCUAAUAUUGCAUAUAAGUGUAAGAAAGGAAAUGCCCCUACAUAUUUGCAUGAUAACCAUAUGUCAUGUGUUUCUCAUUUCAGAUCAUAUUUUCUUCUGUUUUUUCCAUAAAGUGCAUAGAAAUAUAAAGUUUUUACAUGGACUGUGCAGGACCUGUAUAUUUUGAUCGGUAUUGCUUCAUGUUUGUAGUAACUUAAUUUUGUCCAUAGUAAUCCUAAGAUGAUUUUCAAAAAUGCAGUGUCCUUUAUAUGACAAAGUCAAAAAUAACUUGAACAAAUAAAUGAAAAAAACUGAGUUUCAUAAAAUAUCAAGUGUUAGUUCCUUAUUUUUGUUUUUGUCCUUGAAAGAAAAUUGAAAGAAGAAAAAAUCCACAAUGUCUAUCCCUGUGCCAUUUCAUUGAUGUAUAGCUUGGGUAAUAUAUCAUUUGUUUGUCAUUGAUAAUUUUUGUGGAGUGGAAAUUGGGAAUCAUGCAAAUAAAAUUUUAUCUUUAACUCGUG
rnacentral:lncRNA from 1 species